rnacentral:misc_RNA from 1 species
UUUCCGUAGGUGAACCUGCGGAAGGAUCAUUAAUGUGUUUGGGCCUCACGGCUCUUCAUUCCGACGCUGUGCGCCUUCGGGCUGCACGCUGAGGGAGCAUAUAUCUACCCCUGUGCACACACACGGUGGCGAGCUGGGUAACGGCUCGCCGCUGAUCUUUACACACGUCUAAAAGUCAUUGUAUGUUUAUUUGAGAUAAAAACACAACUUUCAGCAACGGAUCUCUUGGCUCUC